AUUGAACGCUGGCGGCAUGCCUUACACAUGCAAGUCGAACGGCAGCACGGGGCAACCUGGUGGCGAGUGGCGAACGGGUGAGUAAUGCAUCGGAACGUACCUUUCAGUGGGGGAUAACGUAGCGAAAGUUACGCUAAUACCGCAUAUUCUGUGAGCAGGAAAGCAGGGGAUCGCAAGACCUUGCGCUGAUUGAGCGGCCGAUGUCAGAUUAGCUAGUUGGUGAGGUAAAGGCUCACCAAGGCGACGAUCUGUAGCGGGUCUGAGAGGAUGAUCCGCCAUGCUGGAACUGAGGCACGGUCCAGACUCCUACGGGAGGCAGCAGUGGGGAAUUUUGGACAAUGGGGGCAACCCUGAUCCAGCCAUGCCGCGUGAGUGAAGAAGUCCUUCGGGUUGUGAAGCUCUUUCGGCCGGGAAGAAAUCGCACGGGCUAAUACCCUGUGUGGAUGACGGUACCGGAAUAAGAAGCACCGGCUAACUACGUGCCAGCCGCCGCAGUAAGAC
rnacentral:rRNA from 1 species